GGGGUUGUGGCUCAGUGGCAGAGUGUUCGCCUAGCAUGCGUGAGAAACUGGGUUCAAUCCUCACGACCACA
rfam:Ictidomys tridecemlineatus contig121272, whole genome shotgun sequence.